AUGUGGCUGCUGAGCACUGUCUUGCUGGCAGCUGCUUUGUCUUGUGGUUCUGCACAAGUCUUGCAGCAAAGCCCCAUAUCCAUCACCAAGCCAGAAAGCAAAACGGUGCUGAUCAACUGUCACGUCUCCGAUCCUGAUUUUAACAACUUCUUCAUCCACUGGUACCGAAAGAGGCCCAAUGAAGCUCCCGAGCGUGUUGCCUACAUGUCCUCCAGGCUCUUCCUUGAGAACAGCACCACUCAGGGGAAGUUCAGUAUCGAGAAGGAUCCCCUCAGAUCUGUCUGCACCCUGACGGUGAGCAGAGUGACUCCGCAGGACUCCGCGACCUACUACUGUGCUAGGUGGGAUGCACGGCAGUAG